rnacentral:misc_RNA from 1 species
UCCGGUUUGGCACCGGCAGUCUUCCUAGAGUCCCCGCCAUUACGCGCUGGCAACUAAGAACAGGGGUUGCGCUCGUUGCGGGACUUGACCAAACAUCUCACGACACGAGCUGACGACAGUCAUGCAGCACCUGUGUUCCCGCCAGCCGAACUGAAGGGUCCCAUCUCUGGAACCCAUACGGGACAUGUCAAGGGCUGGUAAGGUUCUGCGCGUUGCUUCGAAUUGAACCACAUGCUCCACCGCUUGUGCGGGCCCCCGUCAAUUCCUUUGAGUUUUAACCUUGCGGCCGUAAUCCCCAGGCGGGGAACUUAAUGCGUUAGCGGCGGCACGAGAGGAUCUAACCUCUCACACCUAGUUCCCAUCGUUUACAGCGUGGACUAC